GCCGAGGUCGCCUAGCCCGGUAGGGCGCCAGCCUGGAGAGCUGGUGGCCGAAAGGCCUCGGGAGUUCGAAUCUCCCCCUCGGCG
rnacentral:tRNA from 1 species